CCUACGGGAGGCAGCAGUGAGGAAUAUUGGUCAAUGGGCGCGAGCCUGAACCAGCCAAGUCGCGUGAGGGAGGACGGCCCUACGGGUUGUAAACCUCUUUUGCCGGGGAGCAACGGGCGUCACGUGUGGCGCCACCGAGUGGACCCGGAGAAAAAGCAUCGGCAAACCCCGUGCCAGCAGCCGCGGUAAAACGGCGGAUGCGAGCGUUAUCCGGAUUUAUUGGGUUUAAAGGGUGCGUAGGGGGAACGUUAAGUCAGGGGUCAAAUUGAGGGGCUCAACCCCUGCCGGCCGUGGAAACUGGCGUUCUGGAGUGGAAGAGAAGUAUGCGGAAUGCGUGGUGUAGCGGUGAAAUGCAUAGAUAUCACGCAGAACCCCGAUUGCGAAGGCAGCAUGCCGGCUUCCGACUGACGC
rnacentral:rRNA from 1 species